rnacentral:tRNA from 1 species
GCCUGGCUGGCUGAGUAGGAAGAGCAUGUGACUUUUGAUCUCAGGGUUAUGAGUUCAAGCCCCAUGUUGGGGG